AGUUCUUUGCCACAGCUGGAAGUGGUAGUGUGCUUACAGAGCUUGAGAGGAAAUGGUCGUCUGGCAAAUACUUAGCAAAACAACCAGAGGUGAUGGGACAAUUGAGCAAGAACAGGCUUUUAACUCUGAAGCCUAAUGGUGGCAUUCUGAAGAUUCACCAUGAGCUGUUUUAAGAUUGUAAUCCAAGAGUGCACCCCCUGCUGAAUCAGGCAUUCAGAAGAAUAACAUGCAAAGAAUCAAGCACUACUCGUAUGGGCCAACCUCUUCCCAGAAGCAGGGCUGGAGAAGCUGCAAAAAUCUCUGUAAAAUUACCACUCACCCUUAUUACUUAUAGUGCAUUAGUAUGCCAGGCAGUUUGCAGAUAAGAAGGAAGAUGAGGUCUCUCUCCCACUGAUUCUGUAAUCCAAACUUAAUUAAAAAAAAUAGAAAGUAGGUUCAGGGGAAAAGAAAUUGAAACAAAGUAGGGGAAGACAUGCUUGGAAACUGGUGUAUUUGAUUCCAGGUGCUUUUCAAUACCAGACUGAGUUAGCAAUCCUCUGUUGCCAUGCAGCUGAGAAGUAGAUCCCACAUUCAGUGAAACUUUUGUUCACUGUGUUCCAGUAUCAGAGAAACGCGUGUUUCCCAGGAGACAACAGACUUGCCAAGGACCAGUUUUACGUUUACAGAAAAGAAGGUAGCACUCAUUUUAUACCAGCACAGUCACCCCAGAUAGUCUGUUCAUAGGUUCCUUUGGGGUCUGUUGCUGCAUGUUAACAUGCAAUAAAAUCUGCUUUGUCCUCAAUGUCUCACGCCGUUUGUACACGUCUCUCAGGGAAUAAACAUAAAA